CGUGCUAAUCUGCGAUAAGCGCCGGUAAGGUGAUAUGAACCGUUAUAACCGGCGAUACCCGAAUGGGGAAACCCAGUGUGAUUCGUCACACUAUCAUUACGUGAAUACAUAGCGUAAUGAAGCGAACCGGGGGAACUGAAACAUCUAAGUACCCCGAGGAAAAGAAAUCAACCGAGAUUCCCCCAGUAGCGGCGAGCGAACGGGGAGGAGCCCAGAGCCUGAAUCAGCAUGUGUGUUAGUGGAAGCGUCUGGAAAGGCGCGCGAUACAGGGUGACAGCCCCGUACACAAAAGCGCAUGUGUUGUGAGCUCGAUGAGUAGGGCGGGACACGUGGUAUCCUGUCUGAAUAUGGGGGGACCAUCCUCCAAGGCUAAAUACUCCUGACUGACCGAUAGUGAACCAGUACCGUGAGGGAAAGGCGAAAAGAACCCCGGCGAGGGGAGUGAAAAAGAACCUGAAACCGUGUACGUACAAGCAGUGGGAGCACCCUUUGGGGUGUGACUGCGUACCUUUUGUAUAAUGGGUCAGCGACUUAUAUUCUGUAGCAAGGUUAACCGAAUAGGGGAGCCGGAGGGAAACCGAGUCUUAAUUGGGCGUUAAGUUGCAGGGUAUAGACCCGAAACCCGGUGAUCUAGCCAUGGGCAGGUUGAAGGUUGGGUAACACUAACUGGAGGACCGAACCGACUAAUGUUGAAAAAUUAGCGGAUGACCUGUGGCUGGGGGUGAAAGGCCAAUCAAACCGGGAGAUAGCUGGUUCUCCCCGAAAGCUAUUUAGGUAGCGCCUCGUGAAUUCAUCUCCGGGGGUAGAGCACUGUUUCGGCUAGGGGGCCAUCCCGGCUUACCAACCCGAUGCAAACUGCGAAUACCGGAGAAUGUUAUCACGGGAGACACACGGCGGGUGCUAACGUCCGUCGUGAAGAGGGAAACAACCCAGACCGCCAGCUAAGGUCCCAAAGUCAUGGUUAAGUGGGAAACGAUGUGGGAAGGCCCAGACAGCCAGGAUGUUGGCUUAGAAGCAGCCAUCAUUUAAAGAAAGCGUAAUAGCUCACUGGUCGAGUCGGCCUGCGCGGAAGAUGUAACGGGGCUAAACUAUGCACCGAAGCUGCGGCAGCGACACUAUGUGUUGUUGGGUAGGGGAGCGUUCUGUAAGCCUGUGAAGGUGUGUCGUGAGGCAUGCUGGAGGUAUCAGAAGUGCGAAUGCUGACAUAAGUAACGAUAAAGCGGGUGAAAAGCCCGCUCGCCGGAAGACCAAGGGUUCCUGUCCAACGUUAAUCGGGGCAGGGUGAGUCGACCCCUAAGGCGAGGCCGAAAGGCGUAGUCGAUGGGAAACGGGUUAAUAUUCCCGUACUUGGUGUUACUGCGAAGGGGGGACGGAGAAGGCUAUGUUGGCCGGGCGACGGUUGUCCCGGUUUAAGCGUGUAGGUGUGUGUUCCAGGUAAAUCCGGUUCACUUUAACACUGAGGCGUGACGACGAGGCACUACGGUGCUGAAGCAACAAAUGCCCUGCUUCCAGGAAAAGCCUCUAAGCAUCAGGUAACAUCAAAUCGUACCCCAAACCGACACAGGUGGUCAGGUAGAGAAUACCAAGGCGCUUGAGAGAACUCGGGUGAAGGAACUAGGCAAAAUGGUGCCGUAACUUCGGGAGAAGGCACGCUGACACGUAGGUGAAGUGAUUUACUCAUGGAGCUGAAGUCAGUCGAAGAUACCAGCUGGCUGCAACUGUUUAUUAAAAACACAGCACUGUGCAAACACGAAAGUGGACGUAUACGGUGUGACGCCUGCCCGGUGCCGGAAGGUUAAUUGAUGGGGUCAGCGCAAGCGAAGCUCCUGAUCGAAGCCCCGGUAAACGGCGGCCGUAACUAUAACGGUCCUAAGGUAGCGAAAUUCCUUGUCGGGUAAGUUCCGACCUGCACGAAUGGCGUAAUGAUGGCCAGGCUGUCUCCACCCGAGACUCAGUGAAAUUGAACUCGCUGUGAAGAUGCAGUGUACCCGCGGCAAGACGGAAAGACCCCGUGAACCUUUACUAUAGCUUGACACUGAACAUUGAGCCUUGAUGUGUAGGAUAGGUGGGAGGCUUUGAAGUGUGGACGCCAGUCUGCAUGGAGCCGACCUUGAAAUACCACCCUUUAAUGUUUGAUGUUCUAACGUGGACCCGUGAUCCGGGUUGCGGACAGUGUCUGGUGGGUAGUUUGACUGGGGCGGUCUCCUCCUAAAGAGUAACGGAGGAGCACGAAGGUUGGCUAAUCCUGGUCGGACAUCAGGAGGUUAGUGCAAUGGCAUAAGCCAGCUUGACUGCGAGCGUGACGGCGCGAGCAGGUGCGAAAGCAGGUCAUAGUGAUCCGGUGGUUCUGAAUGGAAGGGCCAUCGCUCAACGGAUAAAAGGUACUCCGGGGAUAACAGGCUGAUACCGCCCAAGAGUUCAUAUCGACGGCGGUGUUUGGCACCUCGAUGUCGGCUCAUCACAUCCUGGGGCUGAAGUAGGUCCCAAGGGUAUGGCUGUUCGCCAUUUAAAGUGGUACGCGAGCUGGGUUUAGAACGUCGUGAGACAGUUCGGUCCCUAUCUGCCGUGGGCGCUGGAGAACUGAGGGGGGCUGCUCCUAGUACGAGAGGACCGGAGUGGACGCAUCACUGGUGUUCGGGUUGUCAUGCCAAUGGCACUGCCCGGUAGCUAAAUGCGGAAGAGAUAAGUGCUGAAAGCAUCUAAGCACGAAACUUGCCCCGAG
rnacentral:rRNA from 1 species